CCCUGACAGAACCCUCUUUCCUGAGACAGCCUUUCUCCCCGAGGAGACCCUUCUCCAUGAGGGGACCAAUCCUCUCUGAGGAGACCCUUCUCCCUGAAGGAACCCUCCUUCCUGAGGUGUUUCUUCUUGUCCCUGGGGGGACCUUUUCUCCUAAAGAGACCCUUUUCGCUGAGAGGACCCUUCUCCUCGAGAGGACCCUCCUUUUUGAGGGAACCCUCCUCCCUGAAAGACCCUUCUCCCUGAGGGAAUCCUCCUCCUGAGGGGACCCUUUACCCUGAGGGGAUCCUCCUUUUUGGAGUGACCCUUCUCUCUGAGGGGACCCUCCUCCCUGAGGCGUUUCUUGUCCUUGAGGGGACCCCUUACCCUGCAGAGACCCUCCUUUUUGAGGGAACUCUGCUCCCUUAGGAGACCCUUCUCCCUGAGGAGACCCUUCUCCCUGAGCUGCCCUGGCCCUAAAACAUUUUUCAAAAAAUAGAAGUAAAAAUUCAGAGCUGUAACCGGGGCAGAGCGACCACCUCCAGCAGCCCCUGUCAGAGCUGAGAUGCCGGGAUGACCUGUGUUGAGGCAUUUUAAAAACCAUCCCAAAAAUUAUGCCCGGAAGAUCUGUGGCAGAAGGUGCUGCCAGCCCUGAUCUGUGCUGGAAACAGCUCUUGGCUUUUGGGAAGGACAAGGCUGUGUAAUAUACACACAAACAAACACACACAAACAAACACACACAAACACAAACACACACACACAAACACACACACACAAACACACACACACAAACAAACACACACGCUCUUUCAUUUUCAGGGUAAACAGUCAGGGGCUGGUGGAUUUCAAUGGCAAUGGGGAGUGGAGGGAAAACACAACAAUUUCUCAAUGAAUAGGUUAAACUUCUAUCUCCUGACUGGCAAAAUCAGCCCGGUUUGAGGCUGAGGGGUAAAAAGCCUGUACAAGGGCUGAAGGACUAAUGCAAGGUCACAGGCAUUGUGCUUAGAGAUCAGCCCUGCACUUCAGUCAGAUGUGAAUACCUGUGAGAAAAAUUAAAACUUCAGUGGUCACAAAACUAGUCCCAGAAUUCACUUUUUUUUCAGGUUAACAAUUUUCUAUCUCACAUUACUCAGCAGCAUUCUCCUUGUACUUUUAGCCACAGGAUUUGGCUCCUGUAACAUACCAAGGCCUUUGCCUUCAUAGCAGUGACACCUCAAUCGACUGUGCUUUGUCUGACUCCAGUUGGUUUCCUCGCAGCCCAAGCUCACUGUGAAGACUCCUCCUCCUUCCAGCCCCGGGGAAGACCUGCAGAUUCCCACAAAACUGGUGCUGUGUGAGUUCCUGCAACCAAAUGGAACAGAUGAGAGUUAGAAACACACUGACCAGAAUUCCAAGGUGACUAUGUUUGAACGAGUGGAGACAGAUUUCGAUUUGUUACAGUCACCACUAGAGGCACAGGAGUUACCCGGCUUGUAUCAGCAGGCUGUGUCUGGAGGAUCUCUUUCAGUCUGGAAAUACAAGAUUAGAGAUUCUGGUCUAACUUACCUUGCCCUGAGACUGACUGACCAGUAUCACCUUCACAAACAUAUGAUGAUUUAAUGACCUUUUUCUCCAACUACUGAGCACAGAAGCAGUCACAAGCUGCUAGAGUGUACCUGGCCUGCCUUAGCUCCAAGCAGCCAGUUUUGCAAAGAUAGGUUCUGCUUUAGCCUCUUUUGUUCAAGUCCCUGUGAACUGUGGGUUUAUUUGCCUUGUCUGUCAAUCUAAACCGAGCUUCCUGCUGCUACUGGCUGGUGUUUUGUCACUGCCUGUGACAGUAGGCUGUAAACUGCAGGGUAACUAACUCUUAAGGCCACAAGGUACUCACACUAAAUCAGCCAGAUCAUGCUCCUGCUGCGAGGGAAUUUCCAGGUCACAAAUUGACACCCUCUCAUCGCCUUUUUGCACCAAGAGUGUAUGAAAUCAAGUUAAAACCUGGUGCACAAGGGCAACAGUUCACAGCACUCCUGAAAUGAGUGGUCACUUCCUCAUGUAUAUUCUCAGAUACUCAGCAGAGCGAGUCAAGUGUCCCCAGCUUUGUUUCUGCCAGUAAGAAAGAGAGAAUACACUAAGAUGCCUUUUAAGGACAUUCAGGAAUAUAUUGGUGUAUAAAAAAGAGGAAGAAAACGCAAGAGGGUUCUAAAAACAAUUGUGGCUAAUUUUGUGAAUUGCUGAUAGACUUGUGUUUGUUUGCAGAGGGAAAAAAACCAAACCCACAAAACCCCAAACUGUUUUAUUUAAAAGACUGUAUACCUUUGACUUGCAUAAAAGGAAGAUGUUUGGUUUUAUUACUUUGCCAAGACUACAGAAAAUCUAAAUGGCCUUAGUUUCAAAUAAUUCUCAUAUCAGUAAAGUCUCUCAUUUCAAGUAAAUCUCCUUCAGUUAAAGGAAAUUAUUGCAAGGUAACAAUGGAAUGUAAAUUAUGAGCUGAGCAGCUGUGUCUUUAUAUCAAGCACUUCUGUUUUAUUCAGAUUAUCUUUUAGUUCCUUUAAAAUUAAUUUUUCUCCUAUCUUGAGUUAAAAGAGAGAAAUUUUGCUGCUCCUCAGUUUUGCAGAUGUGUGUUGUCACCCUCUCUGUCAGUGAUGCAGAGAAUCAUUCUGAUUCACCUUUGCACUGUGUUCUUAUUGAAGGCCUGCUGAGAAAGGGACCCUGCUGUGCCAAAGACUGUGCAGACAGAGAGACAGAGGAUUUCUGUUCCCAAGAGUUUAUAAUUAGCUACAUUCACACACACAUUGAGCAGAACACCAGUCCUCUCAGCCACAGACACCAGAGAACUCCAAAAAAUGGUGUGGAGUGUGUCUAUCAGAGUCCAAAGUCUUUGGCUUACCUGGAGUAAACAAGUACCCACAACAGGGUGGUUAUUGCCCAAAGCAAUACUUCCCAAACCAGUGCAGAUUGUGGGAGCAUCCAGUUAUUGCUACCUGCUCAGCGCUGGGAUCUCUGCUCCAGAAGUAUCUGGGAAAAGGUCUGUUCUUAUCUUGCUCUGUGGCCUCAGGCAGGUUAGUUGUACAUCUCUCCAUACAAAUCCUGCAAGAGUGAAGGGUGUAAUGCCCCUGAUUUUUCUCAACUGCUGUAGCAACAUGCUUUCUAACAACACAGGGAGGAAAAGUAACAGCACCGUUGUUACAAGUUCCCCUGAAACCACCUUUUAUUCCCAUCCUGCAGAAGGACCCCCCUUGCCUAAGGCACCACCUUUCAGAGCUGAUGUACCUGCCAAGCAGGAGUUGCACAGAAUAAAACUGAUUCCUGUGGCUUGAGGUGCAUCAAAAAGCACUUUGCACUCAAAAGCAGCCACAAAUCUGGCAGGAGCACGAGGCCACCACCAAAACUGGGUGUUACACGAUACCUUAUUCCACUUGGGAAGAGCUGGCUGUUUCUAUGGCUACUGCUGCUUUUCUCUCCAACACACCAACCAUUGGUUCUGAUGAGAUCAUACUGUAUUAUAGAAAAAAAAUCACUCACAUACUGCUUUACACUGCAGCAUUUGUUGAGCUACUAUAUAUCUGACUUCCUAUAAUAAAGACAUUUUCCAUUUAAUGUAUUCUUAUAAAUGGGUAGGAUUUCCCUCAUCUCUGAUUUAUAAAUGCAUCCAUUUUGGCCUCGAAAAUCCUGGUUCUGGUUUCCAUGACAACAGGCUUGAUUUUGGAGGCUAUUUCUUCCCCUUACUUCAUCUUGGGUGGGAAGAGUUUCUGUCCCCUUCCAGUAGCAGUGCAAUGGGCAAGCAAAAUGGUUGCCUUGGAGGAAAAUGAGCAGACCUGAAACCAGAAACUUCAGCCAGCUUUUUUAAACACAGGUGAGAAAUACAUGAGAAGAAUGGCACCACAAACCUAGCACAGGCUUGAGUCAGAUUUUUUGUACACUGAAAGUCAAAUGCACAUAUAAUCCCAGGAAAUUUUAGUUAUGUACCCCCCUGUCAGGUAUUUAACAAACUGAU